rnacentral:lncRNA from 1 species
UAUGCCAUCUAGAUCUUAAACCUUAAAGAAGAAACUAUGGCAAUGUCUCUUCCACCACUCUUGACUAGCAUGAUGUGUUGCCAAAAGACUUCAGAUCAUAAGUGCGAAAUAAAAAAUCAAAAAUUGACUGCAUCUUUUCUCAUUGCUCAACAACUGUCAAACAACUGAGAAAUUUGUUUUGGAUGAAGCAGUAACAUUCCUUCUUCCACUCCCAGCCCCAUUCCACGUAGUCUGCAGUUCCUCACUGACCACUGAUUGAUGUCAACGUGCAAACUCUCAGACAGAAGACAAGAAAUAUGUCCUGGGUUUUCUGGUUCCUCAAGCUUCUGACUAGGACCAGAGCCAGCAAUUACACACACUUAUCCCUAUUCUUUCCAUGAAUGCAGAGAAAGAAAGACCUUCUUGGGCUGUAAGAAAUACUCUAUUCCUCACACAUAAUAACUAAGGCUCAGCAGCUUGUAAAAAGGCAUGGUCCAGGGCAUGUCAGGACAAGGAAGAGCGGGACUAACCAUACAAAAUGUCCUUGA